AAACAAGUCAUAAGAUAGAAUCCUAGUAAGACUAGGAUUCUACCUUGCGCCACAUAAGCCUUCUCCACGCCCUCUCUCUUAUUCAACGCCAAUCUCUACUUAUUUUGUGCGACAAAAGCCCUCUCUCAGAUCUCUCCCAUGUUCACAAAAGGUCUCCUCUCUUCUUUCUUACAUGGAAGGUGGUUUGGAUCAAAUCUAAAAGGAAUAAGUUUGGAUUUCGAAUUCUAUGAGAUAGAGUUUUAGAAAUCUAAAACUCUUUCAAUUUUACACCGAAUUUAUCCAAAUUAUUUUGGAAUUUUUAUGGCUUUUAGGGUAUACAUUGUGAACCCUUUUCUGGUGAUCCAUGCAUAAAAAUAUGAAGGAGGUGCUCAAGAGUUUGGCGUCCCUUAACUUGCCAUGUUUGGAUAAGCCUUGACUAGGUGUUUGACCUAGACAAGGACUCUAUCAUAUCUCUCUAUAUAAGAUGAGUUUCUUCAUAAAAUUUUAGGAGACGUCAGUUAUUUGAGAGUCCUUUGUGCCAUCCAAAAAUCAGAGAGAAAUACCUUUGGGUCGUGGAGAUAUAAAAGAUGCAAGUUUGGGUGUCUAGAGAGAAAAACGUGAAGAAGAAGAGGGUCUUCUUCUAGGGUUUUUGUUUUCAUAUCUUUCCUCCCUCUAUCUUGAGUUUCCUGAGAGCGUCUCAGAUCUGAAACUCCUCCUUCUAAUUUCCAUCUUUGGAAGAGUCCAAAUCAAGAAGAAGGAGGCACCUGAUCAACCAUCA
rnacentral:lncRNA from 1 species